rnacentral:rRNA from 1 species
AUAAUUUCAUAACAAAAUUAUUCGCCAGAGAACUACAAGCCAAAGCUUAAAACUCAAAGGACUUGGCGGUGCUUUAUACCCACCUAGAGGAGCCUGUUCCGUAAUCGAUAAACCCCGAUAAACCCUACCACUCUUUGCCAACUCAGCCUAUAUACCGCCAUCUUCAGCGAACCCUAAAAAGGAGCAAAAGUAAGCUCAAUUACCACCGUAAAAACGUUAGGUCAAGGUGUAGCCCAUAGAGUGGAGAGCAAUGGGCUACAUUUUCUACUUCAGAAUAUACGAAAGCCCUUAUGAAACUCUAAGGGCCAAAGGAGGAUUU